rnacentral:rRNA from 1 species
CAGCCAUCCUUUAAAGAGUGCGUAACAGCUCACUAGUCGAAUGACUCUGCGCCGAUAAUUUACCGGGGCUAAGUAUAUUACCGAAGCUAUGGAUUUACGCAGAAGCGUGAGUGGUAGGGGAGCGUUCUAUGUACAGAGAAGCGGUACCGGAAGGAGCCGUGGAGAGCAUAGAAGAGAGAAUGCCGGUGUGAGUAGCGGAACGCGGGUGAGAAUCCCGCGCACCGAAAACCCAAGGUUUCCAGAGGAAGGUUCGUCCGCUCUGGGUAAGUCGGGACCUAAGGCGAGGCCGAGAGGCGUAGUCGAUGGACAACAGGUAGAGAUUCCUGUACUUACGGUAUGAAUGAAGGAGUGACGGAGAAGGCUAGCGGAUCCUGCUGCUGGAAUAGCAGGUGCAAGCGAGGUAGCUGACAGCCAGGCAAAUCCGGCUGUCGAAAGGCGAAGACGUGAAGCGGAUGGAAAGCUGAGGCAAGUACAGAAGUCCGUGAAGCAGGCUUCCAAGAAAAGCUUCUAGUGUUAAUCAUACAGUAACCCGUACCGAAAAUGGACACACAUGGGUGAGGAGAGAAUCCUAAGGUGAGCGAGAGAACUAUAGCUAAGGAACUCUGCAAAAUGACUCCGUAACUUAGGGAUAAGGAGUGCUCAUAGAGAUAUGAGCCGCAGUGAAACGGCCCAAGCGACUGUUUACCAAAAACACAGCUCUAUGCUAAGUCGAAAGACGACGUAUAUGGGGUGACGCCUGCCCGGUGCUGGAAGGUUAAGAGGAUGUGUCAGCGAAAGCGAAGCAUUGAAUUGAAGCCCCAGUAAACGGCGGCCGUAACUAUAACGGUCCUAAGGUAGCGAAAUUCCUUGUCAGGUAAGUUCUGACCCGCACGAAAGGCGUAAUGAUUUGGGAGCUGUCUCGACAAUGUCCCCGGCGAAAUUGUAGUACUAGUGAAGAUGCUAGUUACCUGCGACAAGACAGAAAGACCCCAUGGAGCUUUACUGUAGCUUGAUACUGAGUUUCGGUAGUUUAUGUACAGGAUAGGUGGGAGGCUGUGAAUACAGGGCGUCAGCUUUGUAGGAGCCAUUGUUGGGAUACCACCCUUAAAUUACUGGAAUUCUAACCUGUAGUCGUAAUCCGGCUAGGGGACAAUGUCAGGUGGGCAGUUUGACUGGGGCGGUCGCCUCCUAAAGAGUAACGGAGGCGCCCAAAGGUUUCCUCAGCCUGGUCAGAAAUCAGGCGUAAGAGUGCAAAGGCAGAAGGAAGCUUAACUGAAAGACAGACAUGUCGAGCAGAUACGAAAGUAGGGCUUAGUGAUCCGGUGGUUGUAAAUGGAAAUGCCAUCGCUCAACGGACAAAAGUUACCCUGGGGAUAACAGGCUUAUCUCCCCCAAGAGUUCACAUCGACGGGGAGGUU